CCUGGUUACUCAAGGUUCAGGUGGCAUCUUAUGUCCUGCACUAAAGACAUUCCUGCUGUUCCUGCCUCCAUCAACUCCCUUCUCCUCUGGAACUUGUAGUACUUAAGUAGCCACCAAGGUCAUACAGGAAGGAAAAGCCAAAAUAAAAUGCAUUUCCUUCUUGGUGGUUGUUUGGUCUGUGAGACCUGCAUGUGUGUACACUACCUGGCUUGAAAGUAGACGGAUCUCCUCCACACCCCUGGGCUUUGAAUGGAGCAAAAAGGGUCUUGUGCCACACUAGACAGUCAGACAAUGGGAUUGACCGAGGGCCUUUGGGCCACACAGCAUCUGCUCUACCUCCAGAGGGGUGUAGGAUGUGACAUACAGGCACACAGUCAACCAUAUCUGUGUGAUUGAACCUCAGUGAAAAUCUGGACACCCAAGAAUCCAGUAACCUUCUCAGGUUCGUGAUACUCUGUGCAUAUUGUCACACAUUGUUGCCAGGGGAUUUCAUGUUACCCAUGAUUCUACUGGGCAAGGGCAAUGAAAACUCCAAGUUUAGAAUUUUCUGGGACUCUGCCCUAUGCACAUCUUCCCUUCCCCAUUUUAACUUGC